rnacentral:siRNA from 1 species
UGGAUAUUCAGGAAUAUAUCA